rnacentral:rRNA from 1 species
CCCAGACUCCUACGGGAGGCAGCAGUGGGGAAUAUUGCACAAUGGGGGGAACCCUGAUGCAGCGACGCCGCGUGGGUGAAGGAGCACCUCGGUGCGUAAAGCCCUAUCGGCAGGGAAGAAACAGACGGUACCUGACUAAGAAGCCCCGGCUAACUACGUGCCAGCAGCCGCGGUAAUACGUAGGGGGCAAGCGUUAUCCGGAUUUACUGGGUGUAAAGGGAGCGUAGACGGCGAUGCAAGCCAGAUGUGAAAGCCCGGGGCUCAACCAUGGGACUGCUUUUGAAACUGUCAAACUAGAGUACGGGAGAGGUAAGAGGAAUUCCUAGUGUAGCGGUGAAAUGCGUAGAUAUUAGGAGGAACACCAGUGGCGAAGGCGUCUUACUGGACCGAAACUGACGUUGAGGCUCGAAAGCGUGGGGAGCAAACAGGAUUAGAUACCCGAGUAU